UAUAUAUAUAUAAAAUAUUGAUGUGGGGUCAGCUGUACCUUUAAAAAAUCCCCCUGCUAAAAACAUCAAAACCCCCCUGAUCAGAAGGCAGAGUAUUAUGGAGAAGCCUAUCAUCAAACAGUAAGUCUUCAUUUUGUUUUUCUUAUUAGGCUUUAGGAUCUCUUGUUUUAUCUUACCUGAGCUGCAUAAUCUUUGUUGUGAGUCACAGACUGCAGAAGUUUCUUCAUCAGAUCCUGGGCGCUUCUGUGCUUGGUUUACAGAGCAAGCGCAGUUCCAGCGGGCGCUCUACGCAUGCGCGCAUUAAUUUCGCGCUUAAAGGUAUAUCGUGCCAAAAAAUAAAAAGUUUUAAAGUUGAGCAGUUUUGCUGUUAACAACCUCCCUGGUCAUCUGGUAACUAGGAAAGCUGCCUCUUACAUCC